rnacentral:rRNA from 1 species
UGGCGGCAUGCCUUACNCAUGCAAGUCGAACGGUAACNGGUCUUCGGAUGCUGACGAGUGGCGAACGGGUGAGUAAUACAUCGGAACGUGCCCGAUCGUGGGGGAUAACGAAGCGAAAGCCUUGCUAAUACCGCAUACGAUCUACGGAUGAAAGCAGGGGACCGCAAGGCCUUGCGCGAACGGAGCGGCCGAUGGCAGAUUAGGUAGUUGGUGGGAUAAAAGCUUACCAAGCCGACGACCUGUAGCUGGUCUGAGAGGACGACCAGCCACACUGGGACUGAGACACGGGCCAGACUCCUACGGGAGGCAGCAGUGGGGAAUUUUGGACAAUGGGCGAAAGNCUGAUCCAGCCAUGCCGCGUGCAGGAUGAAGGCCUUCGNGUUGUAAACUGC